AACGAACGCUGGCGGCAGGCUUAACACAUGCAAGUCGAACGGGCGUAGCAAUACGUCAGUGGCGGACGGGUGAGUAACACGUGGGAAUAUGCCUUUCGGUUCGGAACAACUCGGGGAAACCCGUGCUAAUUCCGGAUACGCCCUUACGGGAAAGAUUAUCGCCGAAGAUUAGCCCGCGUUGGAUUAGCUAGUUGGUGAGGUAAAGGCUCACCAAGGCGACGAUCCAUAGCUGGUUUGAGGGAACGACCAGCCACACUGGGACUGAGACACGGCCCAGACUCCUACGGGAGGCAGCAGUGGGGAAUCUUGGACAAUGGGCGCAAGCCUGGAUCCAGCCAUGCCGCGUG
rnacentral:rRNA from 1 species